AAACUGCGAUAAGUAGCGUGAAUUGCAGACGCUUUGAACGUUAAACUUUCGAACGCACAUUGCGCCGUAGGAGUCCUACCCUGCGGCACAUCUGGUUGAGGGUCGUGAUCAAAAACAGCAGGACUAUGGUUGUAAUAGAAAUAGCUGGUGAAUCACGAGUUCGGCCUACCGCCUCUGGCCGAACGUGUUUUGCCAUAAUGCUAGAAGAGGACAAUCGCUCGCAAGAGAGAUUGCCUACCACACGGAUGAUCUAUUAGCUGAAGCAAUAGGUCUCGGUCACCGGGUAUCAAGCUUAUAUACUCUGUGGCGUCUGAGAUACAGCUAGUGGGCUUCAUACGUGCCUGGUAUUGAGAGUAUUCGCUCUCCCGACCUCAACUCAGGUGUGAUUACCCGCUGAACUUAAGC
rnacentral:misc_RNA from 1 species